GAUGAACGCUGGCGGCGUGCCUAAUACAUGCAAGUCGAGCGAACAGACGAGGAGCUUGCUCCUCUGACGUUAGCGGCGGACGGGUGAGUAACACGUGGAUAACCUACCUAUAAGACUGGGAUAACUUCGGGAAACCGGAGCUAAUACCGGAUAAUAUAUUGAACCGCAUGGGUCAAUAGUGAAAGACGGUUUUGCUGUCACUUAUAGCUGGAUCCGCGCCGCAUUAGCUAGUUGGUAAGGUAACGGCUUACCAAGGCAACGAUGCGUAGCCGACCUGAGAGGGUGAUCGGCCACACUGGAACUGAGACACGGUCCAGACGCCUACGGGAGGCAGCAGUAGGGAAUCUUCCGCAAUGGGCGAAAACCUGACGGAGCAACGCCGAGUGAGUGAUGAAGGUCUUCGGAUCGUAAAACUCUGUUAUUAGGGAAGAACAAAUGUGUAAGUAACUAUGCACGUCGUGACGGUACCUAAUCAGAAAGCCACGGCUAACUACGUG
rnacentral:rRNA from 1 species